AGUGAACGCUGGCGGUAGGCCUAACACAUGCAAGUCGAACGGCAGCACGGUAAGAGCUUGCUCUUACGGGUGGCGAGUGGCGGACGGGUGAGGAAUACAUCGGAUUCUACUUUUUCGUGGGGGAUAACGUAGGGAAACUUACGCUAAUACCGCAUACGACCUACGGGUGAAAGCAGGGGAUCUUCGGACCUUGCGCGAUUGAAUGAGCCGAUGUCGGAUUAGCUAGUUGGCGGGGUAAAGGCCCACCAAGGCGACGAUCCGUAGCUGGUCUGAGAGGAUGAUCAGCCACACUGGAACUGAGACACGGUCCACACUCCUACGGGAGGCAGCAGUGGGGAAUAUUGGACAAUGGGCGCAAGCCUGAUCCAGCCAUACCGCGUGGGUGAAGAAGGCCUUCGGGUUGUAAAGCCCUUUUGUUGGGAAAGAAAAGCAGCAGGUUAAUACCCCGCUGUUCUGACGGUACCCAAAGAAUAAGCACCGGCUAACUUCGUG
rnacentral:rRNA from 1 species